rnacentral:rRNA from 1 species
AUGCACCACACUCCCACCGCAGCCAUUGCUGGAUUGGAGGUGCCCGACUUCCCAUGCACCAACCACCUAGAUGUGCUAGACUUCCACCACGUGGAAUUUUUGUGCGCCGAUGCUGCCUCCGCUGCCGGACCUUCGGCCUCGGCAUAUACCAUUCACGGCCCAAUCCACGCCGCACGCCGCUUCACGGCCGAUUACGGCCUUGCGGUGCGCGCCCUCGCCAUACGUGUAGCCGAUGCCGCCGAGGCAUUCUCCGCUAGUGUGGACGCUGGUGCGCGCCCUACGGAACUGGGGCACGAUUUCGUCAUGGCCAAGGUCGAGCUAUUAGGAGACGCGGUUCUUCGUUUCGUGAGCUACCCAGACGGUACCGACGUGACCUUCAUCCCUGGUUUCGAGAGCGUCGCUAGUUCGGGGUCUCUGGACUUCGGACUCACCCGGUUUGACCAUAUCGCCUGUGGCGUCCCAGACCUGGCUUCCGUCGCCUCGUACAUCGCCCAGUACACAGGGUUCCACGAAUUCUCCAAUUUCACCGCCGAGAAAGUGGGUAUGAAAGAAAGCGCGCUGAACGGCCUGGUGCUUGCCAACAACAAGGACACUGUGCUACUAACGCUCCUGGAGACGGUGCACGGCACCAAGCACGGCACCAAACGGCCUGCCAGCGACGACCUUCUUUGCACGUUGAGGGGGAUCCGUGCGCGGUCGUCCAUGGGCGGCUUUGAGCUCCUGCCAGCGCCGCCGCCCAGCUACUAUGACGAUGUAAGGCAGAUCGCCAGUGACGUCUUAUCGGAGGAGCAGAUUAAGGAGUGCCAGGAAAUGGGCGUGCUGGUGGACAGGGAUGACCACGGAGGAGUUGUGCUACAAGUUUUCACCAAAGCGGCGGUAGACAGGCCAACAUUGCUUUUGGAGUUUAUCCAAAGGAUCGAGGGCAUGGAGAACCAGCACCAGCAGGUAUACCCCAAGGGUGGCUACGGUGGGUUUGCCAAGGACAACGUCAAUCAUAUCUUCUUUUGA